rnacentral:rRNA from 1 species
UACGUAGGGACCGAGCGUUGUCCGGAAUCAUUGGGCGUAAAGAGCGUGUAGGCGGCUUGGUAAGUCCGCUGUGAAAGUCCAGGGCUCAACCCUGGAAUGCCAGUGGAUACUGUCAAGCUAGAGUCCGGAAGAGGCGAGUGGAAUUCCUGGUGUAGCGGUGAAAUGCGCAGAUAUCAGGAGGAACACCAAUGGCGAAGGCAGCUCGCUGGGACGGUACUGACGCUGAGACGCGAAAGCCAGGGGAGCGAACGGG